CGGACCAUUAAUUUAUUAAUGGUUAGUGGCGAAAGGGUUAGUAAUGGAUAGGUAACGUACCCUGUGCUUCGGGAUAGCGUCAGAAAACUUCGGUUUUCAUCCGAAAGGGGCGGUAAUACCGGAUAAUACCAUUUGUCGCAGGGCAAAUGCUCAAAGAUUUAUCGGCAAAGGAGCGACCUAUCUCCUAUCAGCUUGUUGGUGGGGUAAUGGCUCACCAAGGCUAUGACGGGUAGCGGGACUGAGAGGUUGACCCGCAACAUCGGGACUGAGACACUGCCCGGACCUCCACGGAGGGCUGCAGUAACGAAUAUUGCGCAAUGGGCGAAAGCCUGACGCAGCGACGCCGCGUGCGGGAGGAAGUCCUUCGGGAUGUAAACCGCUGUCAGGGGGAAGAAAGUACGCUUCGGCGUAUUGAUCUACCCCAAAGGAAGUCACGGCUAACCUCGUGCCAGCAGCCGCGGUAAGACGAAGGUGGCAAGCGUUGUUCGGUGUUAUUGGGCUUAAAGCGUGUGUAGGCGGAAGAGUAAGCGUCUUGUGAAAUCCCUCGGCUUAACCGGGGAAUUGCUGGGCGUACUGUCUUUCUUGAGGCAAGUAGGGGUGCAUGGAACUCUUGGUGGAGCGGUGGAAUGCGUAGAUAUCAAGAGGAACGCCAGUGGAGAAAUCGGUGCACUGGGCUUGUCCUGACGCUGAGACACGAAAGCGUGGGGAGCGAACGGGAUUAGAUACCCCGGUAGUCCACGCUGUAAACGAUGUCUACUAGGUUGUGGAGGUUCUGACAUCUGCAC
rnacentral:rRNA from 1 species